CUGUAUUUUACUACCUUACUUUGCGAAGCCAGGUUUUCAAUGUGGCGAAAAAGAGUUUCGGUGUUACAAUGGGGAAUGUGUCAAAAACGAUUUAACAUGUGAUGGUGAUCUCGCGUGUAAAGAUGAAUCGGACGAGGAGAACUGUGGCUGUCCCUCCAAUAAGUUUGCUUGCCAGGAUGGAAAAUGUAUUCCUGCUGCAGCUGUGUGCGACGGUAGCAACAAUUGCUCAGACGGAGAUGAUGAAAAUAAUUGUCGUGUUCCAUGUCCCUUAAAAUUUCAUUGUCUUGAUGGAUCGUGCAUUUCCUGGUCUGAUACCUGUAGGGAAAUACCGUUCUGUGGGGACGGGACUAACUCACCAUCUGUAUGUGG